UACAGAGGUCUCAAGCGUUGUUCGGAUUCACUGGGCGUAAAGGGUGCGUAGGUGGUCAGGUAAGUCGGAUGUGAAAUCUCCGAGCUCAACUCGGAAACUGCAUUGGAAACUACCUGGCUCGAGGGGUUGGAGGGGGGACUGGAAUACUUGGUGUAGCAGUGAAAUGCGUAGAUAUCAAGUGGAACACCAGUGGCGAAGGCGAGUCCCUGGACAACUCCUGACACUGAUGCACGAAAGCUAGGGGAGCAAACGGG
rnacentral:rRNA from 1 species